UGAACAAAACAGACAUGAACCUCGACAACAAAAAACACAAAGCUCAUAUCUAUCUCUAUCGUACAAAAUCGGAUUCUUUUUAGGGAGGAUGAAGUAAACCUAAGACAAGUGAUGCCUGCGACUAGUUAGAGAAAAAAUAGAAGCAACAGAAUGGGCGAUUCCAACCAGGAUAGCCACUUUCACUUUACCCCUCCUCGGGAUCGGACGUCCGGCGGCCCUCGGUGAAAGGCUCCCAUUGUUGAUACUUUCUCUCCUUGCACCGCCCAUUUCUUCUUACAGAUGAAAAGAAAACAGAAACAGAGAGCAAGUGUGGGAAAGUCUUGACGGUGGUUUGGGUUAGUUGAUUGUGGAGCGAGCUUGUGUUGUGCAUUGCUUAUAUAAAGAGAAGAACAAAUGGAUUGCCCUUUGUUUGUUACUAAUAUUACAGUUAUGCCCCCAAGAAAGAGUUUGACUAUGGGUUGACUAUAUUGUCGUUGUGAAGGGUUGCAUUCACAUUGUGGUCAUGUGCUGCCAGUUGGUUGUUUUUGACUCCAGUACUUUAAUUGUGCUUUCAAUCCUUGUAUUUUCUUAUUUAUACAAUUUAGUCUCCUAGCUGUCCACUGGGAUGGCUUACAAAAAUAAAAUUCAAUAAAUAAAUUUUAAUACUUCAAAUAUUUGAUUUAAAAUUGAACUAAAAUCUUUUUUGUUUCAAUUAACGGAUUGUUCAAAGUUGAAAAACAGGAAAAGAUGGUUUAUAUAUAAGAAAAUAAAUAUAAAAUGACGUGUCAAAAACAUAUUGGAGUGAAUGACCCACACACCAAAGAUUGCAUCGAGUGUGGUCAGUAGUGUGAACAUGGGAUUGAUUGGGAAUAUUAUAUUGCAAAAGAUGAGUUGGGUUAUAAAGACAGCGCAGUUUAAAGCAAUCACAAAAGUAAGGUUUUGAGUUUUUUAAUGGCUGCUCCCAUUAACUUAAAAUAGAAAAGAAAAUAAAAGCCAUUCUCUACUUCGCUUAAAAUCAAAUUAUUUCAUUCUUCCGUCAAUAAUUAAUUCGAUUCGAAAUCGAGUAAUUAACUGAUUAAUCGAAAUAAAUAAUAUAUAUUAUAUAAAAUUAUUAUCUUUUUAUUUACUUAUUAACUUUUAAGAUUUAUGUAGUGUUUCUAAUGUCUUAUUUGUUGUUUUCACCUCCAUUUAAAGUUUUUUGAACUAUUAAAAAAAUGAACAUUAGCCAUGUAUUUUUUUAUAUGUUUUAUGCAUAUUUUAAUCAAAAGACAAAAAAACAUAUAAAUUUCGAUACCAAAUUAACCAAAAUAUUUCGAUUCUGUUAAUGUAUUUGAAAAAAACUUCGGUUCUAUUAACGAUUAAAGAUUUUUACAUUUUGGUAAUUUGGUUUGGGUAUUAACUAAACCAACCGUUUGAACACCCCUACCAACGGUGACUUCUGUCUCUAUGGCACAUCCCCACUUCACUAACCACAAAUGUAUCGAGCCUAAAAGUUAAUUUAUUUAUUUUUAAUUUUGUUUGUAUUUCAUUUGUUAUUUUUUUAAAUUAUAUUGAUGUUUAUUUAAAUUUUUAUUUGUUUGUGUUUUUUUAAUUAAAUGGAUUUGUUCGCGAACAUUAAGUAAAUAAUAUUAUGAAACCCACAUGAUUUGAAGAAAAUAUAUUAGGAAGACCCCUGAAGGCAUCUAGUAAUCCAGCACAUCCAUCAACUUCUCAUGAAAUUAAAGAUAAAGUCUAUAUUAUUCGUGAUUGUUUGAAAGCUAAUUCUUAUCACCAGAAAUCGAAGGUUGAUUUAAAAAGAAAAGUUAUUGAAUAUCAAAUUGGCGAUAGAGUAUUUUUUAAAGUCUCCCCGUGGAAGAAAGUGUUACGGUUCAGCAGAAAAAGAAAGCUCAGUCCGAGAUUUAUUGGGCCGUAUGGAAUUACCGAAAGAAUUGGUCCAGUGGCUUACAAACUAGCAUUGCCUCCAGAACUUGAAAAGAUUCAUAAUGUUUUUCAUGUUUCGAUGCUUCGACGAUAUAGAUCGGACCCUUCCCAUGUGAUCACUCCCGACAAGGUAGAAUUACAGCCUAACUUGUCUUAUUUAGAAAAAGCAGUUAAGAUUUAAGCUUAGGAAAUGAAAUAACUACAUAACAAAAUAGUACCUCUAGUAAAAGUUCUGUGGCAACAACAUGGCAUUGAGGAAGCUACAUAGGAAACGGAAGAGUCAAUGAAAUCCUAAUAUCCAAACCUAUUUUCAGGUAAGAAAUUUCAAUUUUCUUAAGGGGUAGAGUUGUAACAACCUACUUUUAGUGGUACCGAAAACGGUGGUUUUGAAACCCCGUAUUUAACAUGUAGAUAAGAAAGUUUAUUUUGGGAAAUAGAAAAACUAAAUCGAGUUGGAUCAUAUUACAGAGUACUGGGUCAAAAAGACCCAGAAAGUACUCGUAAUUGGACCCGAUGUGAGAGAGGCCCAAAACCCCUCAUAUAACACGAAGGGGGAGGCAACCUUAAUAGAAAUACAAGGGUAAGUCGUUCACCCCUCUCCUAAUCUAAGUAGGAUGUUGUUUUUCUAUUUAAAAUAAAUAUCUACAACUCUACAAGGGUUCUAUCUUCUCUUCCUAUAAAUAGAUGACACCAAUAGAGCUAUUAAUAGAACUUUUGAGAGAUUGUUAUUCUGUCGAAAAAUAGAGAGAUUUAUUCUUAACUUAUAAACAUAUUUUUCAAAAUAUCAAUUUAUCAGUCUCUAUUAAAGAAGAGAGAAUUUUCGAUUUUGAUUCAAUUGGUUCGAGUCCACACUCGAAGCAAUUUGUCGUAUUAGAAUAGCGGAGAAGAUCGUUUGGUUGAAAGUUGAAAAACACCAAGGAUCCACUUAUCCAAAAACACAGGUAUGAAUUUGUUUAAGGUUUAUUGCUAUAAAUAUCAUAAACCGGGUCGAUUUUUAAAUUUUUAAUUUUCCACUGUGUAAGAAAACCGUUUUCAAAACAGUUUUUUUCCAACACUUUGGUGUGCAAAAGAGUUACUAGCAAAUGAACCUCAAGGAUACAAUGAAGCACAAUGAUUGUAUGUGUUUUGCACUAAUAGAAAUAGUCCAUUAAGUAUUGAGUGGAGUAUAGCAAGAGUAUCAAUUUCUAUAAAUAACUUCUGCAGUAAUUCUUUGUAGAACAAUAUUCAAUAUAAAAGAUGGUGAGAAAAUAGAAAGAAACUUUGGUUCUAUAUUUUUUAGUUGUCUCUUAGUAUUUUCUAGUAUGAAAUUCGACUCCUAUUUAUAGAAGUUCUCAUGUCUCUUUAUAGAGACAAAACUAUCCAAAUAGAUGUCACAUCUUUUAACAAUAAACAUAAUUAUUCAAUAGAGGCCUACUUGAAUGAUCAUGACUCUUUGUUAAUAAUCAAGUGAUAUAACUUUGGUAAUAAGAGACAUAACUCAUCACUAUGAAUAGUGACAACUCUUGGUUAAUAACCAUGUAACAUAACUUUUAGACCACUUGUAACUUUUUAAUUAUAACUAUUGUAACCUUAUAAAUAUUUUGAAAAUAUUUCAACAAUCUCCUCCCAUUUUCAAAAUAUUCUAGAUUUUGAUAAUCUUGGAAAUCAAUUACAAAUGAAUGUUCUUAUUAUUGAACCUUCACUCAGUGAAAACAUGCUAAAGUUAAUCGAAAUUGUAUGUUGGCUAAGCUUUGAACCAAUUAUUCCAUUUGAUUAACCGAACACAUCUCACACAACUCAACACCAGCUAAUGCACAUUAUCCAGGGACACUAUUAUGGUCAUGUGCCUAUAACCUAUUUUCACGAGUGUUGUUAGAGCCAAACCCUUGAGCUCCUUGAAGCGUCCAUACUUUCACUCACAUAGGUAAAUCCCAUUGAAAGUGAUCCCGUAAUUAUAACAUUAGGAAAUAGGUCUAUUAAGAGUAUAUUACUCAUCUUUCCCCUUAACAUUACGGGUAUCUAGCACUUUUUAUCCUGGGAUGAUAUAUUAAUUUACAGUGCUAGCAGUCACAUACGAAUAAUGUAUAUUGUCUCAUUAAACUUAAGACUUGACGUUAUACCAAGCGUUUGAAUCAAGUUUCCUUUAUAGGUGAUUCAAAUAGUAUGAGUUUGUACCUCAUCCCUAGAUUUCUAAAUUUUCAACAUAGUUAUGUUAAUUUUUCAUAUCAAAAGGUGUAUCUUUAUACUUAUUUCUAUCUUGAAAGUUUACAAGACCAACAUCCCCACCAUGUUCAAUUAUCUAUUCUUUUGCAAAAGAAUGCUAUCAAUGAUAUCCUUUGUACAAUUAUCAUUUUACAGUGAUCACUUUAUUUUUCUUUAUCACAAUGGUUUCACAUUUGUAUAUUUCAUUUAUUACCUGGCAUCCAAGAAAUUAAUAUCAUAAUUACAAAAUAUAUGAAACCAUACAUCAUGUCUUUUUCACCAGGUAAGUUAUUGUAAAGAGGCUUCAAAUUCCUUGGUGAAACAUGGCAACAUAUUUGCUAUUUUUCAUAGCUUCUUUUCGUAGUCAAUGGAAGACCUUUAAAACUUAUCAUACAUGCGUACUCAAAUAACACUUUUUUUUUUAACACAAAGGUGUUACAUAUAUUGUUUUGGAACAUAGUCAUAUUAGAGGACCAUCGACCAUCCAAUCAUUUAACUAUAACAUCACAUAUUUAUACAUUUUUUAUCAUGGACAUUUUUUUGUCAUUUUGUGACUAUCAUCAAAACUAUGUCCAUCACCUAAAUGGGUCAAAUAGUUUCAUAUUGUUAUUUUCAUAAUCACAAGAUCUUUUUAUUCAUGACUUCCAAAUUGAAUUUCAAAUUUUCACUAUAUCUCAAAAUUAUACCAAACCAUAUGUAUAAUACCAUGUGCACCACUUGGUGUGCAAAAGAGUUAUUGACAAAUGAAUCUCGAGGAUACAAUGAAACCCAAUGAUUGUCUAUGUUGUACACUAACGGGGAUGGACCAUUGAGCAUUAAGCGAAGCAUAGAAAGAGUAUCAAUUUCUAUAAAGAACUUCUGCAAUAACUCUUUAUAGAACAAUAUUUGAAUAUGAAAGAUGGUAAGAUAAUAGAAAGAAACUUUGUUUCUAUGCUUUAUGGUUGUCUCUUGGUAUUUUCUAGUAUGAAAUACCAUUCCUAUUUAUAGAAAUUGACAUGUCUCUUCAUAAAGACAUAACUAUCCAAAUAGAUAGUCAUAUCUUUUAAUAAUAAACAUAAUUAUUCAAUAGAUGUCUACUUGAAUAAUCAUGACUCUUUGUUAAUAAUCAAGUGACAUAACUUUUGGUAAGAAGAUGCAUAACUCAUUACUAUGAAUAGUGACAACUCUUGGUUUAUAACCAAGUGACAUAGCUUUUUAAUUAUAACUAUUGGAACAUUAUAAAUAUUAUGAAAAUGUUCCAACAAUAGAUAGGCUUGAAUUUGAGACGUUGAUGUAAUUCAUUUUGUACUUUAGAUAUAAAGAAACUUAACUAUAAAUAGCGGCUUUCCCCACUUUAUUUUAUUUCUUGUGUCAUUCAUUACUCAGUAAUGCAAGUGAUAGCGUUUGCUCAAAACUUUUCUUUUUGGAGUCUUUGUUUGUUUAUUGCGUGUUUCGUUUUACAAAACUUCUUUUAAAAAUUUCAAAGUGAAUUCACUGCAUGAAGUUAUACAAUUUACUAAGCUAAAGACCAAGCGGAUGACACUUACGUUAAAAGGAUUACAUGUCAAUAACAUAAAAAAGGAAAUUGUUAAUAUGGAUUGAACUAAUACGAUUAAUUGGGGAAAUAAUAUUUUAAAUUUAAAAUACUUGGGAUCUAACACAAAUUUAUGAUUAUUUGACAUCUCUAAUUCCCCAUAUAAUCUGCUAAAGCAAAAAAGUUGUGCUAUAUAAUAUAUGGUUAGAUGUCACUAUCUUAUUUAAUUACAAACUAUAUAUUAUCAUGGAACAAAUUAAGUAGUCAAUUAUUAAUUUGGCCAUCCACGGAUUUGAUAUAUAGUUUGAUUCAGUGAAUUGCCUCUGCAGGGGGAACUUUUACCCACAUGGCAUCUUUGCACUUUGAGGAAUGGCUGACACUUGUCGGACGUGAACAUAGGGGAUAGGGAGAGCUAUGGCCUCGCCCGAAACAAAACCAAAAAAAAACAUUGAUUUUCAUUUUGAUUUUGACUUUUUAAAAAAGAAGAGUAGUAAAUUACAUAAUAGUAAUUACCUCAAUAUCAUUUUACAACUUAUUCAGAAUUAAAGUAUCAAAUUCAUGGAAACCAUCAUUGUUAGCUGCUCCAUUAGAUUUCCUGUAAAUAUGCCCAAUGCCAACCACUCAUGCUUGAGCACAAAGCUCUUUUAUUCUGCAUCUCUCACUAUUAAUGAUUGCUUGAACUGCAGUUAAACAAUCAGACAACCCAUUUUCAUCCUUUAGACCAAAGCAAUUUAAGUCCAUCAUUGAUUAUCCAAAGUUCUACUUGUUCAACAUUACAAUUUCCAAAUAUUGUGACCAUAGCCAAAUAUUCAUCUGUCAUGGCUAUCUCUAGCAAUCCCAACUGAUCAGACAAGUCCAGUACUAGGUUUCCUUGUACCGUCUGUGUUCAUUUUGACGCAACCGGUUAUUGGUGACUUGCCAAAUGCUUGGUCUGAUUCGGUUUUUAAUCUCGACUGUUGGUUCCUUAUUAGCUUUAACAUUCACAGCCCAACAAAAGUAAAAACUUCCUUAAUUUGUUUCCAUACAAACCAGCAUAGUAUACUGGACGGAGUGUUACAAUUAACAUCUUUGAAUUGCAAAUUCAAUUCAUUAAAAAGAUUGACAUUCACCCAAGAUAAAAGUGACAGAUAUAAGAACAUGGAGUCAAUUAAAUUCAGAAUGAACUACUUCCAUAAUCCCUGAGCUUUAGGACAAUCGCGAAGUAUAUGAAAAAUAUUUUUUUUCCUGCAAAUCCACAAAAGCAACAACUAGCGUAAAUCCGCAUUUGCAUCUUUCUACGUUUUAGAGAAGCCACUCUUUUAAAACUAGCCAUAAAAACUGUCGAACACAUUGGGGUCAAGUUCCCAUUAAUUGUCCGAAAUAUCCCAAGAAUCACGAGAUAAAAAGGUAUAGUUAAUUCUCCAUUCGUAGACCAUUUAGAUACUAAUGAAUCCUAGAGGAUUCCAAGAUAGGUUGAGGCAUGGCAUGACACGCUCAUUGCCUUCCAUUGCUCUUUUAAUAUUUUCAAUCUUAUAUGCUGCUAUAAAUCUUCUGUUGAUUCCACAUUUACUCUUCAUUUUGUAUAUUUUAUUGUUAACUUAAUGAAAUACCCAGUACUAUUAAAAAAAAAAAACCCCCAUAGAUUUAAGCAGUUCAAUCAAUCUGAGAUUAAUAGAAUAAAGAAAAAGUGAGAAUUCAUUGAUCUGAAAGGUGUACAAAAACAGACAUGAACAUCAACAACAAAAAACACAAAGCUCAUAUCUUUCCCUGGAUAGGCAAAACCCUUCCUUCUCUUUCGUACAAAAUGGGAUUCUUUUUAGAGAGGAUGAAGUAAACCUAAGACAAGUGAUGGCUGCGACUACUUAGAGAAAAAAUAGAAGCAACAGAAUGGGCGAUUCCGACCAAGAUAGCUACUUUCACUUUACCCCUCCUCGGGAUCGGACGCCUGGCGGUUCUCGGUGAAAGGCUGCCGCUGUUGUUCCUUUCUCUCCUUGCACCGGCCAUUUCUUCUUCGUACAGAUUAAAAGAAAAUCUUGACAGUGGUCUGUGAUUGUUAUUGGUGGAGUGAG
rnacentral:lncRNA from 1 species